rnacentral:rRNA from 1 species
GAUGAACGCUGGCGGCGUGCUUAACACAUGCAAGUCGAACGGAGUACCCCUGAAGGAGUUUUCGGACAACUGAUGGGACUACUUAGUGGCGGACGGGUGAGUAACGCGUGAGUAACCUGCCUUGGAGUGGGGAAUAACAGCUGGAAACAGCUGCUAAUACCGCAUAAUAUAUCUGUGUCGCAUGGCAGUGGAUAUCAAAGAUUUAUCGCUCUGAGAUGGACUCGCGUCUGAUUAGCUAGUUGGCGGGGUAACGGCCCACCAAGGCGACGAUCAGUAGCCGGACUGAGAGGUUGGCCGGCCACAUUGGGACUGAGACACGGCCCAGACUCCUACGGGAGGCAGCAGUGGGGAAUAUUGGGCAAUGGGCGCAAGCCUGACCCAGCAACGCCGCGUGAAGGAAGAAGGCCUUCGGGUUGUAAACUUCUUUUCUCAGGGACGAAGCAAGUGACGGUACCUGAGGAAUAAGCCACGGCUAACUACGUGCCAGCAGCCGCGGUAAUACGUAGGUGGCAAGCGUUAUCCGGAUUUACUGGGUGUAAAGGGCGUGUAGGCGGGACUGCAAGUCAGAUGUGAAAACCACGGGCUCAACCUGUGGCCUGCAUUUGAAACUGUAGUUCUUGAGUACUGGAGAGGCAGACGGAAUUCCUAGUGUAGCGGUGAAAUGCGUAGAUAUUAGGAGGAACACCAGUGGCGAAGGCGGUCUGCUGGACAGCAACUGACGCUGAGGCGCGAAAGCGUGGGGAGCAAACAGGAUUAGAUACCCUGGUAGUCCACGCUGUAAACGAUGGAUACUAGGUGUGGGGGGACUGACCCCCUCCGUGCCGCAGUUAACACAAUAAGUAUCCCACCUGGGGAGUACGAUCGCAAGGUUGAAACUCAAAGGAAUUGACGGGGGCCCGCACAAGCGGUGGAGUAUGUGGUUUAAUUCGAAGCAACGCGAAGAACCUUACCAGGGCUUGACAUCCCGGUGACCGCUGUAGAGAUACAGUUUUCCCUUCGGGGACACUGGUGACAGGUGGUGCAUGGUUGUCGUCAGCUCGUGUCGUGAGAUGUUGGGUUAAGUCCCGCAACGAGCGCAACCCUUAUUGUUAGUUGCUACGCAAGAGCACUCUAGCGAGACUGCCGUUGACAAAACGGAGGAAGGUGGGGACGACGUCAAAUCAUCAUGCCCCUUAUGUCCUGGGCCACACACGUACUACAAUGGUGGUCAACAGAGGGAAGCAAUACCGCGAGGUGGAGCAAAUCCCUAAAAGCCAUCCCAGUUCGGAUCGCAGGCUGCAACCCGCCUGCGUGAAGUUGGAAUCGCUAGUAAUCGCGGAUCAGCAUGCCGCGGUGAAUACGUUCCCGGGCCU